AGCUUUACGGGUUUCAUGUGGAUUCCACAUAUCGAGAGUAAGCAUCAAUUGCAUCAUCGCCACUUCCUUCUCCAAUCACUUGCUUCCUCACCCGAUCUUCCACCACCGUCUGCCGCUGCCGCUGCCGCUGCCGCCUCACUGAUGUAGCAGAAGGGAAACACAAGAAGAUGGAUUGUAAUGUGCCCCAGUACAUAGCUUCACGGUGGGAAUUCUGCAUGGUUGUUUGGUGCGCAUGGCUAGGUGGAAUUGUCUGUCCACCUACAAUGCCUACAGGUGAUGAAGUUUAAGCAAAACCCUCCUGUUGAGUUUUGAGCAUCUUUUGGCUUGAAUUUGGAGUUAACUGAGCUCCCUAUUGUGUUGCUCAUCUCAAGCAUGGACAGAGGGGUUGCAAGCACUGGUUUGGUUAGCAUGUAUGGGAUGUUGCUGCAACAGGAGUUCAUCAUUUCUGGCCAUGCCAAGCAUGUCCUGUAGCUGCUGUUGAUGUAUCUGCAUGUGAGAAUUUUUGAAGCAGCUCUUAGGCCAAGGUACCUGAGCAAGCUUUUGUUCCUAAGAUGUAAAGGAUUUGAAUUCCAAGUAGGCUUUUGAGUUACUUGAUUCCUCUUCUAAGUAUCUCCAAUUACUUUUUACCUUGUGCUCUCUCUCUCUCUCUCUAUAAGUGUUUAUAUGAUGAAGUCUGGUAAUUCCUGGAAAGAUCUUUAGUUUUACCCCAAUAGUUCAUGAGAUAAGCUUAGACUUUGUCAUGCUGUGUUCUCUCUGAUGGAUUCAUUAGUAAUAUGAAGGCAUUGCAGCCUUUCUGGUUG